UAACCUGCCCAAGAGACUGGGAUAACACCUGGAAACAGAUGCUAAUACCGGAUAACAACACUAGACGCAUGUCUAGAGUUUAAAAGAUGGUUCUGCUAUCACUCUUGGAUGGACCUGCGGUGCAUUAGCUAGUUGGUAAGGCAACGGCUUACCAAGGCAAUGAUGUAUAGCCGAGUUGAGAGACUGAUCGGCCACAUUGGGACUGAGACACGGCCCAAACUCCUACGGGAGGCAGCAGCG
rnacentral:rRNA from 1 species